GAUGAUCUGAGAUCCAGAAAAUAGGGUUUUACAAUGGGUUCUGUAAAACUGGAAAAGUUUAGACCUAGAGGAGAGUAUUUCUCCUUUUAUAUGUUUCCUUUUGUCUACUAGUGACGUGUUAACAGAACGUGUAUCAUUGGACCACUUGUCCCUGCUACGUUGAUACGAACGUACGAGGGAAUCAGAUCUCUGUCCCAUGCGUAAC
rnacentral:lncRNA from 1 species